rnacentral:rRNA from 1 species
CCGGAGUGGACGAACCUCUGGUGUUCGGGUUGUGUCGCCAGACGCAUUGCCCGGUAGCUAAGUUCGGAAUUGAUAAGCGCUGAAAGCAUCUAAGCGCGAAGCGAGCCCUGAGAUGAGUCUUCCCUGAUACUUUAAGUAUCCUAAAGGGUUGUUCGAGACUAGAACGUUGAUAGGCAGGGUGUGUAAGCGUUGUGAGGCGUUGAGCUAACCUGUACUAAUUGCCCGUGAGGCUUAACCAUACAACACCCAAGGGGUUUUGUA